GUAGUCAUAUGCUUGUCUCAAAGAUUAAGCCAUGCAUGUCUAAGUAUAAGCAAUUAUACCGCGAAACUGCGAAUGGCUCAUUAUAUAAGUUAUCGUUUAUUUGAUAGUACCUUACUACUUGGAUAACCGUGGUAAUUCUAGAGCUAAUACAUGCUAAAAAUCCCGACUUCGGGAGGGAUGUAUUUAUUAGAUUAAAAGCCAAUGCCCUCUGGGCUCUCUGGUGAUUCAUGAUAACUUAUCGAAUCGCAUGGCCUUGCGCCGGCGAUGGUUCAUUCAAAUUUCUUCCCUAUCAACUUUCGAUGUUUGGGUAUUGGCCAAACAUGGUUGCAACGGGUAACGGAGGGUUAGGGCUCGACCCCGGAGAAGGAGCCUGAGAAACGGCUACUACAUCCAAGGAAGGCAGCAGGCGCGCAAAUUACCCAAUCCCGACACGGGGAGGUAGUGACAAUAAAUACUGAUACAGGGCUCUUUUGGGUCUUGUAAUUGGAAUGAGUACAAUUUAAAUCCCUUAACGAGGAACAAUUGGGGGACAAGUCUGGUGCCAGCAGCC
rnacentral:rRNA from 1 species